rnacentral:rRNA from 1 species
AGUUUGAUCCUGGCUCAGGAUGAACGCUAGCUACAGGCUUAGCACAUGCAAGUCGAGGGGCAGCAUGGUCUUAGCUUGCUAAGGCCGAUGGCGACCGGCGCACGGGUGAGUAACACGUAUCCAACCUGCCGUCUACUCUUGGACAGCCUUCUGAAAGGAAGAUUAAUACAAGAUGGCAUCAUGAGUCCGCAUGUUCACAUGAUUAAAGGUAUUCCGGUAGACGAUGGGGAUGCGUUCCAUUAGAUAGUAGGCGGGGUAACGGCCCACCUAGUCUUCGAUGGAUAGGGGUUCUGAGAGGAAGGUCCCCCACAUUGGAACUGAGACACGGUCCAAACUCCUACGGGAGGCAGCAGUGAGGAAUAUUGGUCAAUGGGCGAGAGCCUGAACCAGCCAAGUAGCGUGAAGGAUGACUGCCCUAUGGGUUGUAAACUUCUUUUAUAAAGGAAUAAAGUCGGGUAUGUAUACCCGUUUGCAUGUACUUUAUGAAUAAGGAUCGGCUAACUCCGUGCCAGCAGCCGCGGUAAUACGGAGGAUCCGAGCGUUAUCCGGAUUUAUUGGGUUUAAAGGGAGCGUAGAUGGAUGUUUAAGUCAGUUGUGAAAGUUUGCGGCUCAACCGUAAAAUUGCAGUUGAUACUGGAUAUCUUGAGUGCAGUUGAGGCAGGCGGAAUUCGUGGUGUAGCGGUGAAAUGCUUAGAUAUCACGAAGAACUCCGAUUGCGAAGGCAGCCUGCUAAGCUGCAACUGACAUUGAGGCUCGAAAGUGUGGGUAUCAAACAGGAUUAGAUACCCUGGUAGUCCACACGGUAAACGAUGAAUACUCGCUGUUUGCGAUAUACUGCAAGCGGCCAAGCGAAAGCGUUAAGUAUUCCACCUGGGGAGUACGCCGGCAACGGUGAAACUCAAAGGAAUUGACGGGGGCCCGCACAAGCGGAGGAACAUGUGGUUUAAUUCGAUGAUACGCGAGGAACCUUACCCGGGCUUAAAUUGCAGAUGAAUUACGGUGAAAGCCGUAAGCCGCAAGGCAUCUGUGAAGGUGCUGCAUGGUUGUCGUCAGCUCGUGCCGUGAGGUGUCGGCUUAAGUGCCAUAACGAGCGCAACCCUUGUUGUCAGUUACUAACAGGUUCCGCUGAGGACUCUGACAAGACUGCCAUCGUAAGAUGUGAGGAAGGUGG